CCUGAGGAAGCGUUUUGCCUACGUGGACAGAAAUCGCUCCCUUAAGGGCGCGCUUUAUGUCCAAGUAGGCAAAACGCUUCCUCAAGG
rfam:Gossypium hirsutum cultivar TM-1 chromosome 3, whole genome shotgun sequence